UACGGAGGGGGCUAGCGUUGUUCGGAAUUACUGGGCGUAAAGCGCACGUAGGCGGACUAUUAAGUCAGGGGUGAAAUCCCGGAGCUCAACUCCGGAACUGCCUUUGAUACUGGUAGCCUAGAGAUCGGAAGAGGUGAGUGGAAUUCCCAGUGUAGAGGUGAAAUUCGUAGAUAUUGGGAAGAACACCAGUGGCGAAGGCGGCUCACUGGUCCGCUACUGACGCUGAGGUGCGAAAGCGUGGGGAGCAAACAGG
rnacentral:rRNA from 1 species